GAUGAACGCUGGCGGCGUGCCUAAUACAUGCAAGUCGAGCGAACAGACGAGGAGCUUGCUCCUCUGACGUUAGCGGCGGACGGGUGAGUAACACGUGGAUAACCUACCUAUAAGACUGGGAUAACUUCGGGAAACCGGAGCUAAUACCGGAUAAUAUAUUGAACCGCAUGGUUCAAUAGUGAGAGACGGUUUUGCUGUCACUUAUAGAUGGAUCCGCGCCGCAUUAGCUAGUUGGUAAGGUAACGGCUUACCAAGGCAACGAUGCGUAGCCGACCUGAGAGGGUGAUCGGCCACACUGGAACUGAGACACGGUCCAGACUCCUACGGGAGGCAGCAGUAGGGAAUCUUCCGCAAUGGGCGAAAGCCUGACGGAGCAACGCCGCGUGAGUGAUGAAGGUCUUCGGAUCGUAAAACUCUGUUAUUAGGGAAGAACAAAUGUGUAAGUAACUAUGCACGUCUUGACGGUACCUAAUCAGAAAGCCGCGGCUAACUACGUG
rnacentral:rRNA from 1 species